rnacentral:tRNA from 1 species
GCGAGAGUAGUACAGUGGCAGUACAUUAGCUUCCCAAGCUAAGGACGGGAGUUCGAUUCUCCUCUCUCGCU